rnacentral:lncRNA from 1 species
UGAUCCACAGAAAUUCACCUCUGCCACUAUUCUUACAAUUACUCUCUAGGUGAGAUGAAGAUAUCAUCUUUGAAACUUUUGAAUUCCAAGUGCAGCUGGAAAUCAAGUUCCUCUUUCCUGAAGAGAGUAAGCCUGUGAUCUUUGCAAUUUCAGAAGAUUAGAAGGAAAAAACCAAAACCUAAAGCAAAAACAACCAACCCAAAACAGGUCAAAAUACUGAAAGCAUUGUUAGAGGACUCAGGGAUGACAGAAGCAGUGUCCCUGCUAACUGCAGAGGAUUGUGGAUUUGCUCCAGCUGGGAAGCUUCCAGAAGGACCAAAAUAA